AGCGCACGCCACCGGGCCAGCACUGAAUAAACAACCCGCCGCCCAGCGCACCCCCGCCGGCGGGCCAAACGGGAGGUGGGGGUCGGGGUACCAUCGAGUCAGUCCUCCAGCCUCCCAGAGAGGACUCGGAAGUGCCCCGGCGCCGCACGGGUGCUUCCGGCCGGGCGGUCUGCGCUUUUGUCCCGCUGGCGGUGGACUCCCGCGGCGCGGCCUCAGCCUUGUCACAUUUCAAGACGAGGGGCACUGAGGAUGAGGAAUCAACUGAAAAGUGUGAAAAUGUUGGAAAUGCAGAAUCUCUGUGGCUAAAAGUGGAAGGUCUUCACAAGGAUCAUAUGCAGGAAUCUAAGCUCUUCAGUGUUCCUACUCGAGGCGCUGCUGUAAGGACUGACAGGGUCUGUGAAAGCGGGUCACGCAGCCAGACCAGCAUCCAAGUGCCCCGCUCCAGACCCAGCUCAGAGCAUAAGGAGAACCAUACAUAUUCCUACUGCAGCUGGGUUCCGCUGGAAGUGAAGGACUUACUACUCCCAGCAGGGCUUCCCUGCAAGACCUUCCUGGGGUGAAAAGCUGACAUAAGGGGAUCCAUUCCAGAGGAAUUGCUUGCAUGUCUUGCUCCUUGAACCUUUGGAAUGUUUGAACUGGACAAAAUAACCUUUGGACUGGGCCAAACAACUAUUUGUAAAACUAACAGGAUAGCUGACAUCCUGACACAAGGACUGUUGAUUACAGAAUCUUUUUCUAAGAUAGAAUCAGUAACCAGCCACGUAGAGCUUGAGUAACAGCUGGUCAGCAGCAACGGGAGUUAUCCUAUUCAUGUGAUUAUUUCCCUUCCUAGUCUCCUAAAACCCCUUCUUUACCUCAUACUCGGGACACAGUUUGGGUUCCUACAUGAAUCUUUGGGAUCUCAAAGAAAAGCUUGCUGUCUCUCACUCUGGCUUUUUAUUUUUAGGUUCACAUUGAUCCACCUACCCCGGAGGUAUUCCUAAUUAACUUUAUAUUCCUCUAAACGAUUCUUCUUCUUUUUUUAAAAUCUUUAUU